rnacentral:lncRNA from 1 species
CAAAAAUUCAUUUGAAAAAAAAUCUGGUUAGAUUUCAUGGUAAUCUCUCCAGGGACACAAUAAUAAAUGCAGAGAGGUGUUCAUAAAGAGCAAUAUCAGAUGGCACCCCAAAAAAGGAUAUGAAAGAACACCAAAAGGGAACUCUAAAGAUUUAGUUGGAAAAGUAGAUGCAGAGAGGUGUUCAUAAAGAGCAAUAUCAGAUGGCACCCCAAAAAAGGAUAUGAAAGAACACCAAAAGGGAACUCUAAAGAUUUAGUUGGAAAAGUAGCACUAUUCACAAUAGCAAAGACUUGGAACCAACCCAAAU